UUAUGUCAAUUUGAUCCUAUCCAUCGUUGAUAGUAUAAAAACCCCUAAACCUAAAAGAAAGAUAACAACCAAGAUUUGGAUCUCUUCCCCCUCUCUUCUUCUCAGCUACGGCCGUAAUCACAAGAAUUCCUUUAAUCAUGGAAAAGAUUGUUGAUUAAAUCACAUAUCACAAUGAUGUCUCUUCUCAAAACUCAAAGUUUAUAUUGAUCCGUCGGAACCCAAGGACCUGGAAUUACAAGCCAGGUGGUCAAGAUUGAUGUUGGCACAAGAUCGUGCGACAUCUGAGGAGGAAAAACUAUCGGUCAAGCGCCAGAAAGAAGAGUUGAACGCUGCAGCUGAUGAGAGGCUGAGAGAGUUGAGAUCGAAGGCGGUCGGUACUCCGAGUCUGCGGCGGCUAACACUUACUGAGGUGAAUAAGAAGCAGAAGAAAAUCCAGAAACGGUCGGCGUGGGCCUCAAAGAACGCUGAGAAGUGCAUAAAGGCAUUCGAAGAGUAUUUGAAAAAGAAAGAGGAUGGCAAGUGAUAAGUGUCUAGGCUUCCUGAUCAUAUAUUGUAUUUGUAAUAGCUUUUUUACAUUUUCCGAGCUUUUUCUAUCGGGAGAGGAGAGAUUGAACUAGAGAUGUUUGAAGUUGUUUGUUUCUUAAAAGUAAUCAACUAGAUCUGAUAUAUUGGUAAUCAA